ACCUUAAAAAUCUCCAACAAACAAAGUAAAUCCUUAUAUCUCCUUCAACUCCACGAUGAAAUCAGUUUCCACAAUUUUCACAAUUUCUUUCAUUCAAUACCAAAGAAAUGAAAUACUAUAGGAAAUACCGAGACUGGGAGAAACAGAGAGUUGCUGUCUGUUCACUGGAACAGUCAGCGGCCGCGAACCGGGGCUGUCCAGUGAUGGCUGGAGACGACGGCGUGAAACUGCGCGAGGGAGACGGAGGACGCCGGAGGCUUCAACUGCAUUGUGACUGCAGCAGCUCCUGCUGCGUCGCGACAUUGGCGGCAGUGGUGCUGUGUUUUUCCGACGACAACAAGUGAAGAUGAAGGGAGAUGUCGGUUGAGGGAGCAGCGCUGGCAUCCGGUGUGUGAACAGCAGCGGCUGCUCAAAGCGGCGACUGUGUGGCGAUGGCGGCGGACAUCACCGGGCUGAACUCAGUAGCAGCAGGCACGGCUGCUCGGCUGAACGGCGGUGACAUCAGGCCGGAAACUAUGACAGCCAGACUUCGGCGGAGGAGUGGCGAUGAGAGAGGGCGGAGGAGAGGAAGAGACAGGAGUUCGACAGAGAGAUAUCAGAGGAAUUUGAGACUGCUUGGAGGCGGAGGAUUUGGGAGAGAAAGAUCAGGGGAAGAGAUUGGCGCUGCACCGUCGUGAAAAGGAGAGCAGCGGCGCCACCGAAAGAGAAGACAGAGGAGGUGCAAAAGAGAGAUGGGAAUGGAGAUUUCAGAUUUCAGAUUUGAGGAGACGUGGGAGUGUUAAGGAGUUAGACAAAAUUUAAUCAAAUGAAUAAUGAGUCAGUUGGAUUUUAUUUAAUUGUUGAAGUAAUGGAUUGCUUACUUAUUAAGUGACAACAAUCUGGAGCUUGAUUCCUCUUGGACAACUUCUUCAAAUGUUUGGGGUUGAUCAUUAUUUUCGCUUUGGGUCAUAAUAUUAAUUUGGAGGAGUUUGGGACAAAAGAAUUAAAGAAUGAGUUGAAGAUUAACUUCUAUUGUUAGGUCGAUGGAGAUGGGAAGAUCGGGCGGCCUUGAAAAUAAAUGAAAGGAAAGAGAAGCAUGGAUUCAAGGAAGAAAUUUCUCUCCGAACAAAAUUGAAGUCGAAGUAAGGAAUUCAAAUUCAGGAAAAUUAAACAAACGAGGUUGAGUUGUGACGAGCGCGGUGGGUGUUGAGGAGAGCUGGUGAAGAUUUGUGUUUGCUUUUAAAUGUUCCGAAUAUAUUAUGUCUUCAUACAUAAUAUUAUUCUUCUCUUAAUGCUUCCGCUGAAUGUUGUUUCUUUGAGUUCAUGUAUUGUUGAGAUAUUAUCCCUUUAAGCUAUUCCCAUUUAUUUA